rnacentral:tRNA from 1 species
GAUUAAAUGGCUGAAGUUUAGGCAAUAGAUUGUAAAUUUAUUUAUGGAAAUAAUUUCCUUUAAUCA